rnacentral:rRNA from 1 species
AGGCAGCAGUGAGGAAUAUUGGUCAAUGGGCGGAAAGCCUGAACCAGCCAAGUCGCGUGAGGGAAGACGGCCCUACGGGUUGUAAACCUCUUUUGCCGGGGAGCAAUGCCCAGCUCGCGAGCUGGGAAGGAGAGUACCCGGAGAAAAAGCAUCGGCUAACUCCGUGCC